rnacentral:rRNA from 1 species
GAUGAACGCUGGCGGCGUGCCUAAUACAUGCAAGUCGAGCGAACGGACGAGAAGCUUGCUUCUCUGAUGUUAGCGGCGGACGGGUGAGUAACACGUGGAUAACCUACCUAUAAGACUGGGAUAACUUCGGGAAACCGGAGCUAAUACCGGAUAAUAUCUUGAACCGCAUGGUUCAAAAGUGAAAGACGGUCUUGCUGUCACUUAUAGCUGGAUCCGCGCUGCAUUAGCUAGUUGGUAAGGUAACGGCUUACCAAGGCAACGAUGCAUAGCCGACCUGAGAGGGUGAUCGGCCACACUGGAACUGAGACACGGUCCAGACUCCUACGGGAGGCAGCAGUAGGGAAUCUUCCGCAAUGGGCGGAAGACUGACGGAGCAACGCCGCGUGAGUGAUGAAGGUCUUCGGAUCGGAAAACUCUGUUAGGAGGGAAGACCAUAUGUGUAAGGAACUGUGCACAUCGUGACGGUACCUAAUCAGAAAGCAACGGCUAACUACGUG